CAGUUCGGAUUGUAGUCUGCAACCCGACUACAUGAAGCCGGAAUCGCUAGUAAUCGCGGAUCAGAAUGCCGCGGUGAAUACGUUCCCGGGUCUUGUACACACCGCCCGUCACACCAUGGGAGUCGGAAAUGCCCGAAGUCUGUGACCCAACCGCAAGGAGGGAGCAGCCGAAGGCAGGUCGGAUGACUGGGGUGAAGUCGUAACAAGGUACC
rnacentral:rRNA from 1 species